rnacentral:rRNA from 1 species
CAUUCACGGAGAGUUUGAUCCUGGCUCAGGACGAACGCUGGCGGCGUGCUUAACACAUGCAAGUCGAACGAUGAACCACUUCGGUGGGGAUUAGUGGCGAACGGGUGAGUAACACGUGGGCAAUCUGCCCUGCACUCUGGGACAAGCCCUGGAAACGGGGUCUAAUACCGGAUACUGAUCCUCGCAGGCAUCUGCGAGGUUCGAAAGCUCCGGCGGUGCAGGAUGAGCCCGCGGCCUAUCAGCUAGUUGGUGAGGUAACGGCUCACCAAGGCGACGACGGGUAGCCGGCCUGAGAGGGCGACCGGCCACACUGGGACUGAGACACGGCCCAGACUCCUACGGGAGGCAGCAGUGGGGAAUAUUGCACAAUGGGCGAAAGCCUGAUGCAGCGACGCCGCGUGAGGGAUGACGGCCUUCGGGUUGUAAACCUCUUUCAGCAGGGAAGAAGCGAAAGUGACGGUACCUGCAGAAGAAGCGCCGGCUAACUACGUGCCAGCAGCCGCGGUAAUACGUAGGGCGCAAGCGU